rnacentral:rRNA from 1 species
AUUGGACGCUGGCGGCAUGCCUUACACAUGCAAGUCGAACGGUAACAGGUUAAGCUGACGAGUGGCGAACGGGUGAGUAAUGUAUCGGAACGUGCCCAGUCGUGGGGGAUAACUACUCGAAAGAGUGGCUAAUACCGCAUACGACCUGAGGGUGAAAGCGGGGGACCGUAAGGCCUCGCGCGAUUGGAGCGGCCGAUAUCAGAUUAGCUAGUUGGUGGGGUAAAAGCCCACCAAGGGGACGAUCUGUAGCUGGUCUGAGAGGACGACCAGCCACACUGGGACUGAGACACGGCCCAGACUCCUACGGGAGGCAGCAGUGGGGAAUUUUGGACAAUGGACGCAAGUCUGAUCCAGCCAUGCCGCGUGCGGGAAGAAGGCCUUCGGGUUGUAAACCGCUUUUGUCAGGGAAGAAACGAGUUUCUCUAAUACAGAGACUUAAUGACGGUACCUGAAGAAUAAGCACCGGCUAACUACGUGCCAGCAGCCGCCGUAACAC